UAACGCAUUAAGUGCCCCGCCUGGGGAGUACGGCCGCAAGGUAAAACUCAAAGGAAUUGACGGGGGCCCGCACAAGCGGCGGAGCUGCGGAUUAAUUCGAUGCAACGCGAAGAACCUUACCAAGGCUUGACAUGUUCUCGAUCGCCGUAGAGAUACGGUUUCCCCUUUGGGGCGGGUUCACAGGUGGUGCAUGGUGUCGUCAGCUCGUGUCGUGAGAUGUUGGGUUAAGUCCCGCAACGAGCGCAACCCUCGUUCCAUGUUGCCAGCACGUAAUGGUGGGGACUCAUGGGAGACUGCCGGGGUCAACUCGGAGGAAGGUGAGGACGACGUCAAAUCAUCAUGCCCCUUAUGUCUUGGGCUUCACGCAUGCUACAAUGGCCGGUACAAUGGGUUGCGAUACUGUGAGGUGGAGCUAAUCCCAAAAAGCCGGUCUCAGUUCGGAUUGGGGUCUGCAACUCGACCCCAUGAAGUGGGAGUCGCUAGUAAUCGCAGAUCAGCAACGCUGCGGUGAAUACGUUCCCGGGCCUUGUACACACCGCCCGUCAAGUCACGAAAGUUGGUAACACCCGAAGCCGGUGGCCUAACCCUUGUGGGGGGAGCCGUCGAAGGUGGGACCAGCGAUUG
rnacentral:rRNA from 1 species